rnacentral:rRNA from 1 species
CUUCCAGACUCCUACGGGAGGCAGCAGUGAGGAAUAUUGGUCAAUGGGCGGGAGCCUGAACCAGCCAAGUCGCGUGAGGGAUGACGGCCCUAUGGGUUGUAAACCUCUUUUGCCGGGGAGCAAAGUGCCGCACAUGUGCGGUUUGGAGAGUACCCGGAGAAAAGGCAUCGGCUAACUCCGUGCCAGCAGCCGCGGUAAUACGGAGGAUGCGAGCGUUAUCCGGAUUUAUUGGGUUUAAAGGGUGCGUAGGGGGACGCUAAAGUCAGGGGUAAAAUUGGGGGGCGCAACCGCGCCGAGCCGUUGAAACUGGGUGCCUUGAGUGGGCGAGAAGUACGCGGAAUGCGUGGUGUAGCGGUGAAAUGCAUAGAUAUUAGGAGGAACACCAGUGGCGAAGGCGGCCUGCUGGGCUUUAACUGACGCUGAGGCUCGAAAGCGUGGGUAGCAAACAGGAUUAGAUACCCGUGUAC